CUACGUGCCGCACCAGGCGAGAAAACUUUGCAAUGUGCGAAAGCACGACAAGGUUAAUCCGAGUGGUUUGUGCUAAACGAACCUUUUGACAGUCCUAGAAACACUGUUGAAUAAGGGGUGGGCAAGUUCUGGUGUCAGCCGGCCGCGGUAAAACCAGCCCCUCAAGUGGUCAGGAUGAUUAUUGGGCCUAAAGCAUCCGUAGCCGGCUCUGUAAGUUUUCGGUUAAAUCUGUACGCUCAACGUACAGGCUGCCGGGAAUACUGCAGAGCUAGGGAGUGGGAGAGGUAGACGGUACUCGGUAGGAAGGGGUAAAAUCCUUUGAUCUAUUGAUGACCACCUGUGGCGAAGGCGGUCUACCAGAACACGUCCGACGGUGAGGGAUGAAAGCUGGGGGAGCAAACCGGAUUAGAUACCCCAGUAGUC
rnacentral:rRNA from 1 species